GAAUUUGCCUUGCCUGGGACAAUUGCUCUGUGGUGAUAGUAGUUCUCUGCUACUUACCCAGGAGCAGAACAAUUUGAAGAGAGAAUCACUUCCCCACAAAUACUUCAGGCCAACCAAAAAUCCUUCAGGGAAAUGCCAUCCAGAAAUUCUUAUGCUAAUUUGCAACAAAUCCUGGACCCUCUUUCAAGUUAACCCUGAUCCUGUUGGCAAGUGAUACCAACAGAAGGUCUGUCCCACAGACCAGAGAAGAACCGAGUGCAGCUGGGAAGGAUGGGGGCUGCUGGCAGGAGUAGCUGCAGAGGCAGACUCAAAGAGAAGGUGGCCGUUAGCUGGGUCUGAUAGAGUUACAAGUUUGUGAUCUUCAUUAACGGUCAGCAGAG
ensembl:lncRNA